CUCUGAGGAGUGGGGCACUGUUGGAGAAAGGGUGAGCCGAAGGGUUGAAGUGGAGCGGUGAGACAAACCAAACGCUUCCACGUUAGUUCCAGUAAUUUCAGUGAAAGCCGCGAUGGCAACAAAAUGCCAGAUCACUUGAUAGUGUAGAUGGCAAGGGUGGGGCGGAGGCAUACAGGAUAAAAGAUCUGGCGGAAGAGCGUUUCGUGUGCAGUUCCUCGUUAGUAUAGUGCAUGUUCUGCUACACAGUGCUGCUGGCAAAAGAGGUGGAGAAGGCUCGCUUCUACCUGCUGGAUAACUUACCCUGCAGUACCUGGCUGUACCAAUGACUGAGGCCGCGUGGUGUCAAGAGAGAAGCCCAGCUCCAUGGAACAUGAAAUUCUAGUGCGGAGAGGGUUAUAUGUCUGGUUUGACAGAGAUCAUUAAUUGUUCACCAAUAUUUCAUCUUUAGUAAUAAAACUCUCUGAGCUGGGCACAUAGUGGCCCCAAAAAAGACUAUAUUUCCCAUCCUUUUUUGGAUUUACACCAGACAAUUAAGUCCUGACCAAUGGAUAUGAGCAGAAUUGUUGAUUAUGACUUCCAGAAAGUGUCCUUAACGGGAAUUAAGGAAAAAAAAACAAACCAAACUCUUUCUCUAGUUUGUUACCUGAAAUAUAGAGUUGAUGGCUGGAGCUGUAACUGCCGUGUUGUAGCAUGAGUUUGGAACUACCUGAGCUGGAAAAAUAGGAGGAGCCAUGACAUAGGAAUAGUCAAAUUUCUGGAGGUCGUGGAACCCCCGUGUGGAUUGCUCUGUAUUUCUUUUAUUUGAGAGAAAUAAACUCUUCU